AGAAGAUGAUUCAUGACCCAGCGAAGUCAUCUAGUGUCUUUUUGGACUUCCAAGAUUCCUGGACAUAGGAGGAUUGGUUGAGCAAGAUAUUAUGUUGAUGUUUGGGGAAGCCAUCUCUGCAAAGUUCCCUGAGAAGUGGCCCACUGUCUACAAGCAUAAAAUCCUCAAACAAAGCCGCAGUCUCACACAGUCUGAUGACCUUCAGAACCUUCUUUACAAUGCUGAAGGCACAACAGAAGUGGAAAAUGGAUGGGACAGUGACAUGUCAUCCAUUUUGAUCCUGGUGUACCUCCUGCCACAGUCACCUCCUGGAUACAAGAGACCAGGGAAUACUCUCAGCCAGACAAGCCAGUGAACAUCUUGUGAAGUUUGUCAAGACAAGAACCAGCAUCAAGGAGCACCUUGAAGGCAUCGCAGAGAGCUGUCAACCAUACCUGCUUGCAGUAAGGACUCAGAGGAGCGUGAUUUGAUGAGCUUUUUAAAGCUCACUUUAUGUUUGGCACUUCAUUUGAUCAUGAUCUGGUCAAUGUGUACAAGAGACGGACCUCAUGUUAUUUAUGUAGAAGAGCUUUACUGUUCCAGAGCU